ACGCGCACUCUUUCGGGUUAAGGUAAGCUAGCAAGCUCUCGGUACGUUAUUAAAGAAAAGGAACUGAAAUGGGAAAACACAGACCGAAAUGAGCGAGAGUUUUAAAGUUGCGAUUGAUAUUAAAAUAAUAACAAAAUGGAGAAAAGUUAGUGUUCAACGUUAAAGGUUCACCCAGCGCUUUUUAAGCUAAUAAGAAGCAGGUGCUACUGGAGCCAGCGGGACAAGUGUGAAGGUCUGCAGCCUGGAGAAUUAAAAACGCAUGGAAUAGUCGGACCUCAGCCAUUACGUGGGUUUGUCUUGGACAUGGACAGCUUCCGUUCUGCAUUUAAAGGUCUUCAUGCAAAUCCAGUGGCUGUGGUUGUCAUCCUGAAUCACAAUCAGUACAGACCCAGGGAUCUGUCUUUGAAGUCCACCACUCGCUGCUGUGUUGUGUCCACCAGAGCACUGGCUAUCGCAAUACCUGUAACCCCAGAGAGGAAAGAGUUAACAGAAAACACAACAAAAUGGAUUUCUGGCUCAGCAGCACAUUGUAGAGGUGAAUUGAAACAUCAUUAGCACCCCAGCCAUCGCCACGUCCUGAGAGACUAAUGGAGUCAUUAUCAAAAUUCCCUGGGAACGUAUACGGAAACGGGUCAGGAGCUGGAGAACAUUUACAGCAGGAGCCUGCUGGCUGACCAGCAUCACCCCCAGACCCGAGCGUGGAAACAUCAAAGAUCACUUUCCCAGGGAGUGAUUGGUGUCUGGUAAGCUGCAAAUGAAUUGCCCAUAUGGUACAAAUAAAUUUUUCUGAAUCUGAUUGCUCUGAGUGAAGGCACAUGGGAUGAAAACAUGCAUAAGAUCCAUUGUAGAAAAUCAAGGUCAGUCAAACAGCAACACAUGCUUAUUCAAAUAUUAAUGCCUCUGUUUUUCGGUUUAAACAGACCAGCAAACAAGACACAGCAACGGCUGCUUUGAUGUUUGUAAGAUUUAAGUCUGAUCCUGAUAAACUAGGAUGCCUUUUAUUAAUAGUGCAUGACAGUGUUUGAUGGAGCCUGUCCUGUUUAAAAGAUGCAGGAAGGAAAAAUGUCUCCAAAUUACCCCAUACUCAAACAAAGCCCCCCAAAAAACAAUUUGCAUUUAAUGUAAUUUACAAAAUGAAUGAAAUAAAUUAUACGUGUAUAAAAUGUCAGGUUUCACCUUUUAAAGCGUUUAUCAAUCCUUCAUGUGAAAAUGCGACCAAGGGUCAAGAGACUGAUGGAGGAGACAGACAGGGGCUUAUUCCACUGGGAUGGAUGGUUUCAAAUGCAGAGUAGAUCGAAGUAUCAGAGAUCCAUUCCAGGUCAAUGGACCCGAGUUAGUGAGCUCUGCACUCCGAUUUCUGUCAAGCAACUAUCCAGUCAGACAUCCAGAGGGAGACAGUGGAACUUAAAAGAGGAGGAGGAGGUUGACGCACUGAGAGGAAGGAAGGGGUGAUAUACCCAGAGCAACGCUUUCCAGCCAGUAGUCACUGUCUCCUCAGGGAGGGUGGAGAAGCUGAGCCUACCCACAACUCUG